AGAAAGAUGUUCCAAUAGAACAGCUGCUAACAAAGGGUUGACUUCCAGAUUUUUGGAAUAUCUUAAAAUGGAGAUCUCUCGGUGAGUGUCCAGUAGCGAUGAACUGAAUCUGCCACUAGAUGUCACCGAAUUUUCAAACAAAUGGCUUUAAAGAACAUUUCAGUGCAAGUUGGCUUGAACCCAAGGCAUUUGUGCUGUUUUCCCUGGCAUCCACAGGAAUUAUCUGGGGUCUAAUGAUCACUUGUCUGAGAAAGCUUGCAAGAAGACUUCAUGGAUUUUGUGGAAAAGGUUUGAAAGAUGGAAAGAAAGUGAAACCACUGAAAUACCGUUGUCCCAACCUGUCUUCUGCUUAGGUAAGAUGCCUGGGCUUUUCCUAUGUCACCUUUGGAUUAUGGAAAUCUUGGGUC
rnacentral:lncRNA from 1 species